rnacentral:lncRNA from 1 species
AGGCUGAAAAUUACAUGAGGUAAUUUCUAAAUCAGGUAAUUUAUUUGAGGUUUUUUUUCCAAUACCAUGCUCUUAAAUAUAUUAUUCUACUUAAAAUUUUAGGUUACCAACUAAUUAUAGUGAAGGCUGAAAAUUACAUGAGUUGAUUUCCAAAUCAGGUAAUUUCCAACAGCAUGCUCUUAAAAUAGAUUUAUGUACAUAACUUUCUAGGCUAAAUGCAAAAACAGUAACAUUGUCACCAUUUUAUUUUAUAUCAAAUGUAGAUGUAGGUGAUGGAAUCAAUUUGGAGUUCUGGAGAGGUGUAUCAAGCCUUGAAAAGCUUGAAUCUUAAGAUAAAUGAAGUUAGUCUUCACUGUUCAGGUUAAUUUAUAUGUAUUUACUUGCUAAUAUUACUUGACUUACAUAUUGUAUUUUUUAUUUUAAUUUUGACCGGUUUUUUCAAUUCUGUGCAUAUAUCUUUGUGCCUUAUAUCUUGCAUUUGUUUUCUUAGUUAUUUUCUUUAUAAGUUGUCAGCAUUUAUGGUGCAUCAAUAUUGCAAAACAUUUUCUCAAUUGGGUAUAACCAAUUUUAUAUACAUUUUCUAAUUAGGGUUUAUUAAAAAAAUCAUCUUCUAACAUGGUCUAAACUGUAUUUUCACUUUUCUUCCUCAAAGACCGGUGGAUAUAGCCAAGACAUGAUCUCUAUAGUGAGCUUUUCUUUAUCAAAGAUCAAUAAAG